rnacentral:rRNA from 1 species
AACCUCCGCAAUGUGAGAAAUCGCGACGGGGGGAUCCCAAGUGCCAUUCUUAACGGGAUGGCUUUUCAUUAGUGUAAAAAGCUUUUGGAAUAAGAGCUGGGCAAGACCGGUGCCAGCCGCCGCGGUAACACCGGCAGCUCUAGUGGUAGCAAUUUUUAUUGGGCCUAAAGCGUCCGUAGCCGGUUUAAUAAGUCUCUGGUGAAAUCCUGUAGCUUAACUGUGGGAAUUGCUGGAGAUACUAUUAGACUUGAGACCGGGAGAGGUUAGAGGUACUCCCAGGGUAGAGGUGGAAUUCUGUAAUCCUGGGAGGACCGCCUGUUGCGAAGGCGUCUAACUGGAACGGUUCUGACGGUGAGGGACGAAAGUUAGGGGCGCGAACCGGAUUAGAUACCCGGGUAGUCCUAACUGUAAACGAUGCGGACUUGGUGUUGGGGGGGCUUUGAGCUGCUCCAGUGCCGAAGGGAAGCUGUUAAGUCCGCCGCCGGGAAGGUACGGUCGCAAGACUGAAACUUAAAAGGAAA